rnacentral:lncRNA from 1 species
ACUUCGACUGCCUCGUGUCCGGUACGGCGUCCCCAAAAAAUUCGGGUCCCCGUUGUUCCCGAACGCUUGGGUUGGGCUUGUCCCCAAUAUCUCGGUCCUAUAUGUCCCCGAAUUAUGGGUCCUAUAUGUCCCCAAUUUAUGGGUUCUCUUGUCCCCAAAAUCUCAGUCCCCCUUGACCCCAAUACCUUGGCCCUAUAUGGACCCCAAUUUCUGGGUCUUCUUGUCCCCAAAACCUUGGUCCUAUAUGACCCCAAUUUCUGGGUCUUCUUGUCCCCAAAACCUUGGCCCCAUAUGUCCCCAAUGCUUGGGUUGACCUUGUCCCCAAAUCUUGGUCCCCUUUGACCCCAAUAUUUGGGUUGACCUUGUCCCCAACACCUUGGUCCUAUAUGACCCCAAUUUUUGGGUCCUCUUGACCCCAAUUUUGGGUCCCCCUUGUCCCCAACACCUUGGUUCUCCUUGACCCCAAUACUUGGGUUGACCUUGUCCCCAACACCUUGGUCCUAUAUGGACCCCAAUUUCUGGGUCCUCUUGACCCCAAUACUUUGGUUGACCUUGUCCCCAACACCUUGGUCCCUCUUGACCCCAAUACUUGGGUUGACUUUGUCCCCAACACCUUGGCCCUAUAUGGACCCCAAUUUCUGGGUCUUCUUGUCCCCAAUUUUGGGUUCCCCUUGUCCCCAACACCCUGGUCCUAUAUGUCCCCAAUUUCUGGGUCCCCUCGUGUCCCCUCCCUAUAGUGACACAAAAGAUGUCUCCCAGGGUGGGAAGGGUCCCCGGGGGGGUGUCCCAGGUUUUGGGGGGGCUAAUGGGGGAUCCCGCAGAGCUGCGGCCCUUCCAGUCGCUGCCCUUCGCCUCGCUGGCGGCCGAGCCCUUCGCCCUGGGGGGGCACCCAGGGGUGGCCCUGGCCCAACCCUUCGCCGGUGCCUGCGCCCUCCUGGAAUGGGACCAGUUGGCCGGGCGUUUUCGGGCCCCCACCAUCAUCAACGGUGAGUGACGGAACCCCAAAAAUGGACCCGGGGGUCGGGGGACCCCAAAACGACCUGGGGGGGUGGUGGAAGGGGUGGGGAAUUGGGUUAAAAUGGGUUAGGGGGUAUGAAAAAUGGCCUGGAGAACAUCAAAAAUGGGUUGGAGAACCUCAAAAAAUUGGUUGGAGAACUUCAAAAAUGGUCUCGGGGACCCAAAAUUGGAUUUGGGGUUAGGGGAACCCCAAAACGACCUGAGGGGGAUGGUGGAAGGGGUGGGGAAUUGGGUUAAAAUGGGUUAGGGGGUAUCAAAAAUGGCCUGGAGACCACCAAAAUGGGUUGGAGAACCUCAAAAAAUGGUCUUGGGGACCCAAAAAUGGAUUUGGGUUUGGGGGAAC